rnacentral:rRNA from 1 species
UACGGGGGGGGCAAGCGUUGUUCGGAAUUACUGGGCGUAAAGGGCUCGUAGGCGGCCAACUAAGCCAGACGUGAAAUCCCUCGGCUUAACCGGGGAACUGCGUCUGAUACUGGAUGGCUUGAGUUUGGGAGAGGGACGCGGAAUUCCAGGUGUAGCGGUGAAAUGCGUAGAUAUCUGGAGGAACACCGGUGGCGAAGGCGGCGUCCUGGACCAACACUGACACUGAGGAGCGAAAGCCAGGGGAGCAAACGGG